AAACAAAGUGUCAAUCACUUCUUUACAGAGAUGUUAGUGAUAUACCAGCAAAAGACAUCAGUGAAAUCUUAGGAGUCCACAAGGAAAAGGACUUGAACACCUUUUGAGACACCACAGAACCCCACACUGUGCACAGGAACAAACCACACACACACACCUUGGUUUGAGGGGCUUCAUUUUCUCAGAGCUUUACCAAGUUCAAAGAAAGAAAACAACCACAAGAAAUGACCCCCGCAGAGGUUCUCCAUUGUAGUGAAGUGAAACAGAGGGAUUUUAUCCUCAUUUACCCUGUCUCAAAGAGAAAACAACAACAAAAGGUAUUUUCUUUGCCACAUCCUAGGAGAACAUUCUUCUCUUUCCUAAGGUCAUAUGUGGAGCAAGUUUGGGGUACAGUAUGAGGAUAAUUUGCCUUUCUCCCCAAUUCCCCUUUUCAGUAAAAGAUGCCACUGCUAUUCUAGGCUCCAAAUAACAGUUCCAUGACUCCUCUCCAGCCCUUGCUCCAUUUGUUCACUGACAAAGUGAACCUAACCUUCCUGCCUGCCCCUCCGUGUACCUGUGGGUGCCUAGUGUGGUGCUGAUGAUUAGUGCACAACAAUUUAUGUCCCCAUCUCACACAAAGGCAACCAGGGAGCAACCAGUAGGUGAGUGUGUGAGUGGCAGAGCAGGCCCUGAGCCCACCCUUCCCAGGAGGUGGUCGAGCGACUCUGCCUUGCUCGCUCCUCUUACCUGAUUCUUCUCCUCUGCCCAAGGCACGGUCCCUAGUGCAGGCCCCAAGUGCUCCUCUGCACCAUAGGGAAGGUUCUUCACCUGGUUUUGUUCUGUGGUGCUGGGAAUGGAACUUAUGGCCUUGAGUAAGCUAGGUGAGCACUCUACCGCUGAGUUACGUUCAGAGCUCUGCUCUUAGCUUCCUGACCCACCGCGGCCAGAAUCCUCUCUGUGUGCACAUGUGUGACAAGGAUGACCUCCUUGUUGCUGACAUCUUGCUGGACACAAGGGAGUCCUCUUUCUGGCCACUUCUGUUUGUAGAAACCACACUCCCUGGUUCUCUGCCCACCUCACUCCUCCUUCCGUCCUUUCGUGCUUCCCUCUUCCUCGGCCCCUGGCAGUUUCAAAGGCUGGCUUCCAAAGGUUCUAGCCUCACUCCUUUCUCUUUGAAGCAAACACAACCUCCUUCAAAAAACCCUCAUUGCUUCCUGCAGCUCUAUCUAAUUUCUAUGUAGCCAUUUUUCCCCAUCCUCUCCUGACUUCCAGACUUACAUCUUGAUGGGUCAUUGGCCAUCUCCGUUUGGCUACUUUUCAGCUAUUGCAAAUUAACUCAUCCAAAAUGAACUUAUCCUUUCUAACUCUGCUGAACCCCCAGUCACUAGACAGGACCUACCCACUUGACCAAUUUCCUACAGGCAGCCAACAGAGCCUUCUACACCAUCUCAUCAGAUCCUUCCUAAUCAUAAUGCAUCCCUGGCUGAUCAGUCCUCAGGGUCAACUUCCAACUCCCAAGGGUGGCACUCAGACCCCCAAGAAGUCUUUAUAUUUUAUUGGUUCAUGCCCCUCCAGAAACCUCUACACCCUGCUACAAACUACUUACUUAAGAAUGCCCAUUUCUCAUGUUGCCUCCUUUCCCUAGUUAACUCUGCUUCUCUAGGAAGAUGCAGUUUGGGUACCUUAAACUUCGGGAAACCUUCCCAUAUGUCUCCUCAUCCCGUAAGUGUAGGCAACUAACUGGCUUUAUUAUUGUCUGUCAAGACAACUGUGAACAAUCUGAGGGGCUGUCUUCUGUGGGUGGCCAGCAGCAUAUCAAGCACACAGCAGAUGCUCAGUAAACACAUGCCUGCUUUGCUUGACACUUGCAUAAUCCUGUGCACAAAUAAAAGGACCGAUGUGUGCAACCACUCCGACUCUAGCUUUGCCAUUCAAAAUCCUCCAGGAGGAGAUUACCUCCCUGGCCUUCAAAGGUGUGGCCUGCCCACAACAGCCUGCCUUUCAUUUCUCUCUGGUCUGGAGCUUGUCAGCCCAGCUGCUCUGCUCACACUUCGGGAGCAGCCCUGACAUCUGCUCCUCUCAUCUGAGGGGACACUACACUGGCUCAAGAUGCUCACUCCUUCAAGUGGCAGGCACCUCCUCUCAACCACAUGUGGUGAGGAGUGUCUUUCCUUUCUCAGGGCGUCACGAUGACUCACGGUUACACAACUGUCUAGUGAGCUGGACUGUGAAUUGUUCCUGUUCCCUUUCAUCCACCCCGCAAAUAUUUCCCGAGCACUUGCCCUGUAACAACACCUAAGACUGGGGCUGUGGCUUAGAUCCUGACUAUCCCUCAAAGGCUCAUGUGUUCAAAGACGGUCCCUCCCAAUCAGGAUGAUGCUUUUGGUCCUAUGAAUGUCACAUUCCUCCUUUGUCCCCUACAUAUUCCUUGAGGAAUGGCUAUGAGAGCUUAGGCAGCGGGGCACGGGGUCAAGGGAUGCAGUGUGCCUUUAAGAGAUGGAAACGAGUAAGAGGUCUUUAGGUCAUCUUGGGUAUCUUCUCAGGCUCUUUCCUUUCUCUUUAUUUUGCUCUGGGCCAAGAAGCAGUGAUCUCACUUUACCACACGCUCCUGCCAUGUGUUGCCUCACCGUAAGCCUAAAGCAACAAGGCUAAAUGAUCAUGGGCCAAAAUCUCCAAAAUGGUGAGCCAAAAUAAAUGAGCCCUUCUCUUAUUAUAAGUCAGAUAUUUCAGAUAUUCCCUUGCAGCAUCAGGGAUAUGUCAAUGGAUAUGUUAAAGUCAUAUCCUCAAAGGGAGGUGGUCUAGAACCAAGCAAAGCAGGGGAGCAGAAUUAUACUAAUAUUUUCAACUGAAGGGAAAGCAGACUAUGGCAGAAAAGCACCAUGAAAUCAGGAUGGGGCGGUGGCAAAGAGAGGGAGCAGGGCGCAAGGAGAUCGAAUUUCCACCGCAACACUUUCAAGUUACUUCAUUUCUACAUAAAUCCUAGUUCCUCUGCUCCCAACAACCCCAUCAGGAAUUCUGCUCCCACUGUGUCCCUGUAGCCCUUUAUAAGUGACUCAGGGACAAUUUUCACCAAGCCAGUAGAGGUGGACCGUACAGGCCUGAACUGGGCCCAGCUCCCAGAUGCAGCCUUUAGGGCACACCAGGGGGAUCAGUGAGGAAAUAUGAGGGUCACAUUCCUAAGAAACUGCAAGCCCUGAAGAAGCACCAUGCCCAGGGGCUCACACAGUAGUGGGUGCUCAACAGGUAACACAGCACUCCGAUAAGGUAUCAUGCCUAUACAUGGAAACAACUCUAAAUAGGCCUCCAUGACCAUCUACAACUCUGCUCUUGGUUUCCUGUCCUAGAAAAUGGGGUCCUUAAACUCUGCUCAUCUCUUCAGAGACAUUAGCAUUUUUGUGGCUGGACAGGGCAAUCCAGGGAAUUCUGGAGAAGCAGUGUUGGGCAAUGGAAGACACUGUCUCCAGUCAGCACCCUAAUUGCAGGAAGAAACCCUUUGGCCUGGAAGCAGGAACUCCAGUCUGGAUACGAGAAAGCUGAAGCCAGGUAUCUUAGCCAACAUGCCCACAGGUUCCUGUGCUGGGGCCUUGGCAGACUGCAGUGUGUGCCCUCAGGCCCUCAGCAGGACAGGCCUGUGAGAAGUGCCGACCUGCCAGCCCCAAGCUCCCUGGCUACCUCCAAUCUCAGACAAUGGUCCUUGCCACUCUUCCUGAGAAGGCUUUCUGUUUCUAGAGAUACAAGAACCUCUGUAUCUCUUCAGAGAACUGUGAUGUGACAUCUAUAAGCAACAGUUCUGGCAGCCCAUAAGAAGACCUGUGAAGUACUUGAGGACUUAGGCCCACCCUCUUCUGCCUAAACCAAAGCUUGUCAUGUGACGGCAAGCCAGAACAAUCAAAGUCUUUACUCCAUCACUACAACCAUUUUGUUGUAGUGAGGUAUAGCAUCAUCUGAAAAUUACACAUAGGCUAAGAAAAAUGUAACGUGUGUGAGGACCUUAGUACUUUUCUAGGCUCCCAGACAUCUUUCUCUCGACUGGGGAGUUUCAGGACCUCCCUUUACAGAGGGAGGCCAGGGACUCCCUCUCUCCGCACCUAAGUAGCAGAUGACCUAGGUCAAGUGAGCACCUUUUCAGAGCUGCCCUGGAGCAAGUGAAACAAGAAGCAAGGCCCCAAACCUGGAUCUCGUCAGAGCCAGUGGUGCCCUGCUAUGCUGUUCCCAUGGCAUGCCCAGAUCAGAGGGGACAGCUGCCCAGCGUCCCUUGGCUCCUGACUCUGGCCCAAUCUUAAAGUGCUCUAUUUCCUUCCAAUAAGCCCUACUUCUGCUUGAAGACUGACUUCUGCUGUCCAUGGCCUGAUAGCCCCACCUGCUCCACUGAGGCGAAACGGCCCCCAGACCUUCAGGGAGCUGCCCAGGGAUGCACAGAUUAGGCAGGUGGCUCAUCUGGGUGACAGCGGCAGCCCCUAAGGGAGCAUUCAUCAAUACAGGUACAAAUGGUGCAGCGCCGUGACGCUGGGUGGAUUCCUACCUUGCCUGUACUCUGACCAUCACUGAUGGCCACCCAAGCCCCGCUCAUUCAUUUCCUAGCUGCCUGGCUCUACGCUGUCAUUUAACUUCCUUGACUCUUGUUUUUUCUUCUGUAAUAAAGGAGUGUUAAUAACGGUCAUGUCCACUUUGCAGGGCUAUUCUGAAGAACUAAAACCAACAAAAUACCACGAACAAAAUCCCCAGCAACGUGCUCUGUGGACUUGCUGCACAGAGCUCCGCCAUGGCAGGCUGGCCCUGUCGGCCACUUCUGUCCUCACUCCACAGUUCCCUGCAGCGUGGCUUUCCUCACUCCCCACUGAGCCUGAGCGCCGACAGCUCUCAGUAGCUCUCAAAUGUAAGUCAGAGUCCUGGCAUUCCUGCCCAAGGGCCCCAUGUCCCGCACCCUCUGGGCCGCCCAGCCCUGACCAGGCAGCACGUUUCCCCGCCCCCUCCGCUGCUGCGGUCCACUCUCCUCCCCGCUUUGACUCCCUUCUCUGCCUGACUUCCUCCUCUUCUCUCAGGGGCUCACUAGGGAUCUGCCUCACACGUCCACUGUCAUUCUCUUCCAUGGCAACCGUGACGUUCCUACUUGCACACACACCCCGGGCUCCAUCUCAGCAGUUCCACGCCAUCAUCACGUGCUGGUGCUUUUCUGGUCAGAAACAUCUGCAUCUCAAGUUCCUACCUCUUUGAAGAGCCAGUGCCCGGCGGAUGUUUACUAUAAAUCUGUACAGCAAUAAACAGGACCACACAGCCACAGGAAUGCACAAGAAACGGAGCUAUUCCCUGUGCCUCCACCUGGUGCAUGCCCCCGCCCCCAGCCGAGAGAGGUAUAACUGUGCAUGGCCCCUGCCUGCUGGCACUGGGGAAGAAGCACGGCUACUGCGGCCUCUGCAGCCAGCAGCACACCGCCACAUUAACUGCCACACUAACCGCCACAGUAACCGUCACGUGUGAAAAGCAAAGGAGAGUUCAGCAAGAAAAUGAAAGAUAGAGGCUAAUGUGUGCUCAGAAAGAGGAAGGGGAAAUACUUAGAACAUAAAGAAGAACUUCCACAGCCCUAGUAUUCAGGAUCGUCACCCGCACACCAGGAUGGUCACACACUAGUGGAGCUGUGGUACCCUGAGCCCCUGCCGAGAGUGUCCUUUCUCAACACUAAAGAACCUUCAUAAGGACUAACUGAAAGAAGAGAUUCAAGAUUGCUGCACAGAGCCUGGAGAGGGGAGGUAGCCAGCCACGUGAAGGAGUUAUUUUAAACAAAUUAUUUUCAUGGUAUUGGGGGUAUCUGGGACGACCAGCUCUGUGGUCUGCUUUCUGCGCUUAGCCUGACUCUGAGCAUAUCCCCACCCUUCGUGUCUGAAAUGCUUUCUUAAUUAUACAGGUAACAAUGUUUAGACAAAAGUUAGAAAAUACAAACAAGAUAGCUUAUUGCUCCACUUUAAGAAUAAGAUGGUAAUAAACAUUAGUGAUACCCUCAUACAUUAUUGGUAGGAAUGUAAAAUUGGUCCUGCUCCCAUUUUGGAAAACAGUCUAGAAAUUCUUCAAAUGGUUAAACAUGGGAUCAUCAUAUGAUCCAGCUAUAUCCACUCUUUACUAUGUACUUAAUAAAAACGAAAACUUGUAUGUAACAGUUGGCAAGUACAAACAGCCCAAAUGUCCACCAGGGAAGAAUGAAUAAGUAAAAUGUAAUAUAUAUAGAUGCUGAAAUAUUAUAUAGACAUAAAGACCAGUGAAGUCCUGAUUAUACGCUAUGGUAUAGAUCUACCUUGAAAACAUUAUAUUUAAAUAUAAGAAGUCAGUUACAGAGGACCAUAUACUGUGUAAUUCCAAUUUUUAUAUGAAAUGUCUAAAAUAGGCAAGUCCAGACAUAGAAAGGAAAAUAAGGUUGUGGGCCCGGGGUUAACGAAAAUGUUCUAGAAUUGUGGUGAUGAGUGCAUAACUCUGGGAAUAUGAUAAACAUCACUAUGUACCUUAAAUAGAUAAAUGAUAUGAUAUGUGAAGUAUAUCUCAAUCAAGUUGUUAAAAAAUAAACAAGAUCAGAACAUCUGAACUCAAUGCUUAGACAUAUCCAUGUUAGGUACUCUAAGGAGUCUCUUUCAUGAACAUAUAGGUCAACAUAUAUGUCUAUAAAACAGUCAUUGUUACAGUUCUACCACCUCCUUUUCUCACUGAAUAUAUAUCAGUAAUUAUAGUUCUCCAUCACCACGUUUAAUCACCAUAUAGUAUUUUAUUAUAAGGUUACAAAAGAGAUAUAGUCAACAAACUCCCAUGAUAAGGCACACAGGCUGCUUCUAGGCUUUGUGUUAGAUAAGCUCCCCUCCCCCAGCAUAACCAGAAGGCCCGAUGGCCUCUCAAGACUAAACAGACAGGUAACUGCCUGCUUAUGCACUAGGUGCAAAGACAGUCAUAAUUGUAAACUUUAAAAGCUACUAUGCUUUCACAUUAUUCUUGCUCAAUAAAGCUGUUAUUUAAUAACAAACAGAAGCCUGUGAGAUGGCUCCAGGGUAAAGGGCCUGCUGUUCAGCCAGACAACCUGAGUAUGAUCUCCAGGGCUCAUAUAAUUAAAAAGAGGGAGCCAACUCCAAGUUGUCCUCUGACCUCCACAUACACACUGUGCAUGCCCACACCCAUGUCCACAAACCCACAACUCCCAACACCCAUGUCAGAUAGCUCACAACUGCCUGUAACUCCAACUCCAGGGGAGUCUGAUGCCUCUGGCUUCUGCAGACACCUGUACACAUUCCACACCACCGCCACCACCCGCCGCCACCGCCGCCACCACCACCCCCCGCACAGACAUAAUUAAAAAUAAAAAUAAAACCCUAAAAAACAAAAGAGUGGCUGGUGAGGUAGCUCAGCUGGCAGAAAGUACUUGGGAGACAGAAGCAGGCAGAGAUCUACACAGCCCACGCCUGGUCUACACAGUGAGUUCCAGGCCACCAUCCAAUCAAAUAGUUUGCUUAAUUUUGAGCAUUUACGUGGCUCUACAUUUAAGCUUUUAGUUUAUUGGUGGCUAUUUGGGGUAGGGAGGGAAACUGGGGUACAUUAAUUUCUUUUCCAACUAAGUAAGCCGUUGUCAUGGUCCUAUUCACAGAAACCUCACUUUUUCAUGUUGAUUGAACACCAUGUUGACCAGGUCCCAGGCUUUAAAUAGACUCUGGCCUGUUUCUAGACUUUACACGAGUUUGUGACUUAGCAGUGACAAGGCUGCUUCUUAGAACACGUCUCCCUCUACUUCACCACCUCUAUCCCACAUUCCCCCUUCCUGUCACAGUUUUUCUCUUUUCCUCUGUAAUGCACAUCUCCGUUGGCUGUCAGCUAGAACAAGGCAUGAUGGGAGAUGAGAAGGGUGUAGAGCCUUAGACAGAUGCAGGACAGUCUUGGGAGCCACAUCUGGAGUCUGGACUUCACCUUGAACUUAGUGGAGUAUUCAAGACGCAGAGGUUAAUGGGAGUUACAUGUUAUUUCAGUGUGAAAAACAGACAAGAGGAAGUCAGGGCUAACUGUAGGGAGACUGACUCAUGGAUUCCAUAAUCCAGGCACAAAGCAGUGAGUGACCUUACUCUAAGAGGAAGGUAAGAGAAGCCAUGAGGCAGGGGUGAUGGGAGGCAGUGAGGAACAAGACCUGGGGGUGGGUAACGGAGCCCCAGGGUUUCAACGCAGGACUGUACGCUGGCACUACUGUGUCCACUAUGCUAGGGCACCGAGGAGGAAAGUUGGAAGUCAGCUCCAUUGGGGAGAUGGGGAAAGAAAACAAUUAUGGUAUUAGAAAUGUAAAUCACGGUCAAGUGUGGUGGGCACACACCUUUGAUCCCAGCACUCAGGAGACAGAGGCAGGUGGAUCUCGGUGAGUUCGGGAACAGUCUGUGAUACACAGUGAGACCCUCCAAACAGAUAAAUACAUCAGUGCACGUGAGUGAUGAAUGAAUGAACACUGUCAGCUCCCUGUGAGCUCCAAGCUGAGUCAGGUAACUUCUCUGAGCUCACUUUCCACACCCAGCCUUUAGACAUCAUUCUGCCUAUGAAGCGCUUCUCUUUCCUACAUAUGGAGCCUUGUACUGGUCCCUACAAAUUGUAACACAAAUUGUAAUGCUUUUUACCCACCUCAGGCAUAUACAUAGAGAACAGCCUCUCUCUUUGAUCCUCAAUAAAGAAAAUGUUAAAUAGUCAGACAUAGGGAUGCAGAAUAAAGAGAAUGGCUGGUUUUAUUUUCCAUCUGUGAACCUGGUAGUAUUUUAAAACUUUUUCUUACUUGUUCUACAAAUAUCUAGGCUUCUACUCAUUUCUUAAAAAAAAAAAAGAAAAGAAAAGAAAAGAAAAAAUCUCAGCUUCACAUGGUGGCAUAGCGUUAUAAUCCAAGCACUCAGGACUCUAAGUAAUGAGGAUUCCAAGUUCAAGCUACCCUGGGGAAUAGAGUAAGAUCCUGUCUCAAAACAAAAGAAAUUCUUCAUCAAAAACAAAUUCUAACCAAGCAUGGUGGCUCAUGACUGCAAUACCAGCAGUUGGGAGACAGAGGCAGGAAGAUCAGGAGUUCAAGGUCAACCUCAGCUACACAGCAAGUUCCCAUGCUACAUGAGAUCCUGUCUCAAACAAAAAGAGAAUUAAUGACAAAAUUGGCAUUGUAGAGUAGGAAAAAGUAUCAGUUGCCAGAGAAAAAUGGCAAUAUUUUGGGUAUAGCAUAUUCAGAGUAUUUCCCCCUUAGAACACAAAACAAAAAAUUCAGUAUGUGUGAUUUUGUAUCUUACUGUUUUCUCAUUUACUACUGCUUUGAGGCCUCAUGUUUUAACAGGAGUCAUUCAAACUCUAGUCAGUAACAUGACCACUCAUUAGUCUGCUGUUGGGGAGUACUCCUUUACACUGUGAGAAGAUAGGUCACAGUGACUGGUUUAAUAGUAAGCUAAACAGCCAACAGCUGGCAGGAUGUGGGGGGCAGAGAGAAUGCUGGGAAGAAGGGCAGAGAAGCCAGACAGACACGGAACAAGUCAGACACACAAAAUGGGAUAGAGGUAAAAGCCACGUGGUAGAACAUACAUUAAUUAAAAAAAAAGGGGUUAAUUUAAGUUAUAAGAGCUAGUUAGGAAGAAACCUAAGCUACUGACUGAGGUUUCAUAAUUGAUAAGUCUCUGUGUCAUUUAUUUGGGAGCUGGCUGGCAGGACAGAGAAAGACUAGCUACAGUCUGCCUGAGAAGCACUGGCAGCCUCGCAUCCAUCACAUCUUUAAAAUAAAAUGUAUGCCUAGAGGCCAGAGUCCACAUUGGUACUUCCUCAACUGUUCUCCAUGGUGUGUUUUGAGUCAGGGGCUCUCACUGAACCUGGAACUCCCUGACGUGGCUAGACUUCUGGUCAGCAAACCUCAGGGAACCUUCUGUCUCUUCAGUACUGGGAUUACAGGCACACCCAGCAGAAAGACACACACACUUGCAGAAAGACCCAUGCCCUCGUUCCUAAACAGAAAGUGGGGGUGUGGUCUGCAGUUCUUGAAGGAGUAAAACAGAACAGAAGCCAAUGUCAAGCUAUGUGAGGGGUUUUAAUUUUUGUUUCAUUUUAUGGUGCUCAAGGGAGACCUUGUUCUCAUUUUUUAAAACUGGUACCGGUAAAUCCUGUCACCCACUUUAUGAAAAACGCCUCAGAAUCGGUUCCCAGUGUCUGAAUGCUGCGUGCAGCAAAUAGUCACAAACGUGUUUCCUUGACUGUGCUUCAUUUCAGAACGAAAAUACGCCUCAUGACAGAUACUGGUUUCCUUCGCCACAUGCCCAGCAUUUCACAGAACAGACAGAACUGAGCCAUCUAUCGGGAGAGUCGGCUCCUGUAUAACCAUCACCAUAAAUGUACUUUCCCGGGAAUGUUCUGUCAGGGACUAGAAGGCUGUAGUUCCCUCAAGACCCAGCCACUUAUAAUUAAAUUAUAGACAAUAAUUUUAAGUGACUUUUGAACCACGUCCUCUCAUGUGGCUGCUGGGCUCUGCACAUGGCAAGCAUUUUCCUGACGGCCAACCCACACCUCUCCUGCUUUAACUGGUGUCAGCUAUGAUGGCCAAAAGCUCUUGGCUUGCAAGUUCUCCCUGGGGUCUGGAGGGCGUUUUAGCAGACAG